UACAGAGGUCCCAAGCGUCGUUCGGAUUCACUGGGCGUAAAGGGUGCGUAGGUGGCCAGGUAAGUUCGGUGUGAAAGCUCGGAGCUUAACUCCGAAAUGGCAUUGAAUACUAUCUGGCUAGAGGGUCGGAGGGGAGACUGGAAUUCUCGGUGUAGCAGUGAAAUGCGUAGAUAUCGAGAGGAACACCAGUGGCGAAGGCGAGUCUCUGGACGACUCCUGACACUGAGGCACGAAAGCCAGGGGAGCAAACAGG
rnacentral:rRNA from 1 species